GCAGUGGUGGUUCGUGGUAGGAUUUUCAUCUUCCAUGGUGGAGACCUGGGUUCGAUUCCCAGCCAAUGCG
rnacentral:tRNA from 1 species